GACGAACGCUGGCGGCGUGCCUAAUACAUGCAAGUCGAGCGAAUCUUAAGGUGCUUGCACCUUAUGGUUAGCGGCGGACGGGUGAGUAACACGUGGGCAACCUGCCUAUAAGACUGGGAUAACUUCGGGAAACCGGAGCUAAUACCGGAUAAUUCAUAUCUAUUCAUGUAGAUAUGCUGAAAGACGGUUUCGGCUGUCACUUAUAGAUGGGCCCGCGGCGCAUUAGCUAGUUGGUGAGGUAACGGCUCACCAAGGCGACGAUGCGUAGCCGACCUGAGAGGGUGAUCGGCCACACUGGGACUGAGACACGGCCCAGACUCCUACGGGAGGCAGCAGUAGGGAAUCUUCCGCAAUGGACGAAAGUCUGACGGAGCAACGCCGCGUGAGUGAUGAAGGUUUUCGGAUCGUAAAACUCUGUUGUUAGGGAAGAACAAGUACCAGAGUAACUGCUGGUACCUUGACGGUACCUAACCAGAAAGCCACGGCUAACUACGUGCCAGCAGCCGCAGUAACAC
rnacentral:rRNA from 1 species